ACGCUGGCGGCGCGCUUAACACAUGCAAGUCGCACGAGAAAGUGGAGCAAUCCGUGAGUACAGUGGCGUACGGGUGAGUAUCACGUGGAUCAUCUACCUCUUGGUGGGGAAUAACCCUGGGAAACCGGGGCUAAUACCGCAUAAGCCUGCAAAGGGAAAGCAGCAAUGCGCCGAGAGAGGAGUCCGCGGCCGAUUAGCUUGUUGGUAGGGUAAUGGCCUACCAAGGCAAUGAUCGGUAGCCGGCCUGAGAGGGCACACGGCCACACUGGCACUGAAACACGGGCCAGACUCCUACGGGAGGCAGCAGUGGGGAAUCUUGCACAAUGGGGGAAACCCUGAUGCAGCGACGCCGCGUGAGCGAUGAAGCCCUUCGGGGUGUAAAGCUCUUUCGGCAGGAACGAUAAUGACGGUACCUGCAGAAGAAGCUGCGGCUAACUACGUGCCAGCAGCCGCGGUAAUACGUAGGCAGCAAGCGUUGUUCGGAAUUACUGGGCGUAAAGAGUGUGUAGGCGGUUCUCUAAGUUCCGUGUGAAAUCUCCCGGCUUAACUGGGAGGGUGCGCGGAAGACUGGAGGGCUGGAGUAUGGGAGA
rnacentral:rRNA from 1 species